UAGUCCACGCCGUAAACGAUGGACACUAGUUGUUGGAUUUAUUCAGUGACUAAGCGAAAGUGAUAAGCGUCCCACCUGGGGAGUACGAUCGCAAGAUUGAAACUCAAAGGAAUUGACGGGGGCCCGCACAAGCGGUGGAGCAUGUGGUUUAAUUCGAUGAUACGCGAGGAACCUUACCAGGGCUUAAAUGUAGAGUGACAGGUCUAGAGAUAGAUUUUUCUUCGGACACUUUACAAGGUGCUGCAUGGUUGUCGUCAGCUCGUGCCGUGAGGUGUCAGGUUAAGUCCUAUAACGAGCGCAACCCUUGUCUUUAGUUGCCAUCAUUAAGUUGGGCACUUUAAAGAGACUGCCGGUGACAAACCGGAGGAAGGUAAGGAUGACGUCAAGUCAGCAUGCCCCUUAUGCUCUGGGCUACACACGUGCUACAAUGGCCGUGACAAAGAGUUGCUACUUUGUGAAAACAAGCUAAUCUCAUAAACGCGGCCUCAGUUCGGAUUGCAGGCUGAAA
rnacentral:rRNA from 1 species